GUUCAAAUUAUUUUUAUUUAUUACAUUUAAAAAGAGAAAAACAUGACUGGUGUUCUCAAGUUUGUUUAUACCAUGGUCUUUUUUCUUUCCCUAUUUCUUAUUGCUAUUGACAUUAAAGUUGAAGCUUUUCUUAGAUGUGAUUUUGACCUCGAUUGUCCACCUAAAAUGUGUUAUAGUCAUCUUUAUUUUGUUCCAAUGUGUGUUGACAACCACUGUGAUUGUACUCAAUGGAAAGAUAUAAUACCAACAAUCCCUUAGGCUUUUCCAUGAUUUAAACUUAUGUAUUUAUUAAUUUGUACUUUAAGAUAAAGAUAAUGAAAAGAAAUAAGACAGAAGAAAAUAAUUCCUAUAUUAGAUCUUUCUUAAUUUGGGACGUAUCCUAUGACCUCUCAUUCAAAUAUAUAUCACUUUUCUUUCUAA